UACGUAGGGUGCGAGCGUUAAUCGGAAUGACUGGGCGUAAAGAGUGCGUAGGCGGUAAAUCAAGUCUGAUGUGAAAGACCUGGGCUUAACCUGGGGAUGUCAUUGGAUACUGAGGUACUAGAGUGCGUUAGAGGGGGGUAGAAUUCCACGUGUAGCAGUGAAAUGCGUAGAGAUGUGGAGGAAUACCGAUGGCGAAGGCAUCCCCCUGGGAUGACACUGACGCUGAGGCACGAAAGCGUGGGUAGCAAACAGG
rnacentral:rRNA from 1 species